GGAAGAGGAGACGCCGCGGCCGAACCCCAUCCGCCACUCCCUCCCUCCCUCCUCCUCCUCCUCCUCCCCCACUCGCGCGUCCCUCCUCGGACGCCCCCUCCCUCUUUUCUCUUCUUUAUUGCCCUUUUGUACUUAUUCGGGUGGCGGAUUCCAUCUAGAUCGGCACCCUCGUCGUCACGGUGGCGUCCGGAGAGGCCGGAUCACGCGGUGGCGGCGCCAUGAGCGCGGCGGAGGACACCGUGCCGCGGUCGCCGCUGGAGAAGCCGCUCGCCGAGCUCACCGAGGAGGACAUCGCGCAGCUCACACGAGAGGAUUGCCGCCGCUACCUCAAGGCCAAAGGGAUGCGGCGGCCGUCGUGGAACAAAUCGCAGGCGAUCCAGCAGGUUAUCUCGCUCAAGGCGCUUCUCGAGGGGCGCCCGGGCUGCAAUGAUUGUCCCGCCGGGGGCGAAAUCCUCCGAAAGUAUGCCCCUCCUCGUACCCCACCGCUCCUGGCGCCGUCUCCCCAGGAUUCUCUCUCUCCUAGGGAAGUGGGAAGAUUGCUGUCGCCGCCGAGCCCGUACCGGAGAAGAGACCCGAUCCCGACGCCGCAACAAUCUGCCGGAUCGCCGACUUCUCGGACGUCUACUGCCGUAGUAGACCACGCGGAUACGGCCUUUCCAGAGAAUAGAUUCCUCUCUGCCAGGACGACGGCGGAGCUGCCGGCCGCGGGGCAGAUGACUAUAUUCUACGACGGGUUGGUCAAUGUCUACGAUGGCGUGGCCUGCGAUCAGCGGCGUCCCUCGGCCUCGCAGGCGAAGGCCGUAUUAGACCUGGCAGGCAGCACGCCCAGCUUCGACGGCUUCCCCUCGCCGGGUGUGGCUCCCCGGCUCCCUGGGCGCCUCUUCUCGGCGGCGACUGGUAUGGCGGCAGGGCGGGCCACCACGCGGCGGACGGCGCGGUGGACGCGAGAGCACCGCGGGAAACAGAGCCUGGUAAGAGAGCGGAGCAGUUUUAGCGGAUGGUGGAACCCGCAGAAAUGCCUCAUUGAAGAGAUACUUGGAGAAAAGAAAAGAUAGGUUUAAGGGCAAGAAAGUUAUAGAAGGUCCAUCUUACUCAUGUACAGAAAAAAUGUUACUCAGUGAGAACUUCAGAUGCCCAAAUCCAAUUGAUUCUUCAGACUUGAAUAUGACAAACCUCCCGUCAACGGUACAACAUCAACCACCUCAAUCUCCAGCUAGCUGUGCAGAAAACCAAGUUCGGAAAGACAAAUUUCUCAUAGAUCUCAAUGCUGACGGUGAGUAAGAAUUUGCAUAGUUAUGUUUGUAAAUUCAUAUGGAAAAACACGGGUUGCCAUUGGAUUCAGAAACAAUUCUUCAUAUUGCCUCUUGCAUGACAUUCAACUCUCUAUUGAAGAAUCCUCAAACUAAGAGUUUUGUUGGGCAUUGUGCAUGCCAUGUGAUUAUGUCAUCUUAAUUUUCUUUGUUAUGGAUUAUCUUUUAUGCUGAAAUGGAUCGAGAGACAAGAAUUCACUUCCAAUGAUUGCCCCUUUUAUGAGAUGUCGGUGAUAGAUACCUUACAGUACUAUUUUCCGGAAAUGACGAAAAUUCACACACCAAUUAUAUGGUUUGUUCAUAUCAGUAAAUUUUAAUGACACAAUAUUUCCAGUUGAUUUGGAUUGAUUAUCUUAUCUUGUUUGUAUAUAGUGACUUCAUGCUAUACUCGCGACAUUUAGAUUAUCUAUCCUCUUGUUAUCUGUAGUCAUUGGGAAGAAUUUGAUGUCAAAUUUCAAGCUCUUUGCUGGCUAUUCUAUAUAUACAUAUUGUCUAUUGAGUUAUGCUGUAUAAAAAUACAUGAUAUUUCUUUUUUUAAUGCCAAAAAAAUGAGCAGUAUCAGGGCUGAGCUUAGUAAGAAAGAAAAAAAGGACAUGUCAUGACAAUGCUAAGUCCUUGUCCUUUUUUGUCGAUAAGUUCUCGUCCUCAGUUGAUAGAACAUUCUUUGAAGGUUAACUGGAGAGGAGCCAUUUGAUAUACCUGUUUUUUUUCCUUUUCUGUAACAUACUACCUGUGGAUCUAUACUAUCUUUCCAAUGAUUUUCUUUGUGUUUUCCUACUGCAAAUCUGAUAGCGAUCAUCACAAUUUGCAUCAGGUGAUGAGGAUUGCUGAACCUGUCUAGCAUUUUGUUCAGCAACCAAGACAGCAUUUGGACACCUGUAAUUUUGCUAUUCCGAUAAGUGGAGAGGAAAACUACAAACUCAAGUUGCAGAGAAACAAAGUCGUCCAUUGAAGCUGAGUGAAAUAGAACAAGAUGAUGGAUGCUGCUAACCCAAGACUCGACUGUAUUGUUUAGUUAUCUUCCUGCCUGUGCAUGGCGGCAGCAUGCUCCCAUUUGGAGUUACCGACCAUCGCGAUGACCAGAUUGACAUGACUGGCCUUCUGUCUUGUGUGGUAAAAUUUAGGUGGCGUGUUAUUUCUUUGUAUGAGAGGUUCACGGAAGUAGUUGCUUUAGCAUAUCAAUAGAAUGAGUUGCAUGACAUUAUUUGAGCUCA